ACGCUCGACACCUACGGAGGCAGCAGUGGGGAAUAUUGCACAAUGGGGGGAACCCUGAUGCAGCGACGCCGCGUGAGGGAAGAAGGUUUUCGGAUUGUAAACCUCUGUCCUUGGUGACGAUAAUGACGGUAGCCAAGGAGGAAGCCACGGCUAACUACGUGCCAACAGCCGCGGUAAUCUGAGCGGGCUGGCAAGGC
rnacentral:rRNA from 1 species